GAUGGCGACCGGCGCACGGGUGAGUAACGCGUAUCCAACCUUCCCUAUAGUAGAGAAUAGCCCGGCGAAAGUCGGAUUAAUGCUCUAUGUUGUAUUUAGAAGACAUCUGAAGAAUACCAAAGGUUUACCGCUAUAGGAUGGGGAUGCGUCUGAUUAGGUAGUAGGCGGGGUAACGGCCCACCUAGCCGACGAUCAGUAGGGGUUCUGAGAGGAAGGUCCCCCACAUUGGAACUGAGACACGGUCCAAACUCCUACGGGAGGCAGCAGUGAGGAAUAUUGGUCAAUGGACGGAAGUCUGAACCAGCCAAGUAGCGUGCAGGAUGACGGCCCUAUGGGUUGUAAACUGCUUUUAUAUAGGGAUAAAGUCGGGGACGUGUCCCCGUUUGUAGGUACUAUAUGAAUAAGGACCGGCUAAUUCCGUGCCAGCAGCCGCGGUAAUACGGAAGGUCCAGGCGUUAUCCGGAUUUAUUGGGUUUAAAGGGAGCGCAGGCUGAUGAUUAAGCGUGACGUGAAAUGUAGCCGCUCAACGGCUGAACUGCGUCGCGAACUGGUUAUCUUGAGUGAGUUCGAUGUUGGCGGAAUUCGUGGUGUAGCGGUGAAAUGCUUAGAUAUCACGAAGAACUCCGAUUGCGAAGGCAGCCAACAA
rnacentral:rRNA from 1 species